UGGGGAAUAUUGCACAAUGGGCGAAAGCCUGAUGCAGCAACGCCGCGUGAGUGAUGAAGGUCUUCGGAUUGUAAAGCUCUGUCUUUUGGGACGAUAAUGACGGUACCAAAGGAGGAAGCCACGGCUAACUACGUGCCAGCAGCCGCGGUAAUACGUAGGUGGCGAGCGUUGUCCGGAUUUACUGGGCGUAAANGGGUGCGUAGGCGGAUGUUUAAGUGAGAUGUGAAAUACCCGGGCUUAACUUGGGUGCUGCAUUUCAAACUGGAUAUCUAGAGUGCAGGAGAGGAGAAUGGAAUUCCUAGUGUAGCGGUGAAAUGCGUAGAGAUUAGGAAGAACACCAGUGGCGAAGGCGAUUCUCUGGACUGUAACUGACGCUGAGGCACGAAAAGCGUGGGUAGCAAAACAGGAUUAGAUACCCUGGUAGUCCACGCCGUAAACGAUGAGUACUAGGUGUAGGAGGUAUCGACC
rnacentral:rRNA from 1 species